rnacentral:rRNA from 1 species
UACAGGGGGGCAAGCGUUGGUUCGGAAUUACUGGGCGUAAAGGGCCAGUAGGCGGCCAACUAAGUCCGACGUGAAAUCCCUAGGCUUAACCUAGGAACUGCGUCGGAUACUGGAAUGGCUUGAAUUCGGGAGAAGGGAUGGCAGAAUUCCAGGCGUAGGCGGUGAAAUGCGUAGAUAUCUGGAGGAAUACCGGUGGCGAAGGCGGCAUCCUGGACCGACAUUGACGCUGAACGGCGAAAGCUAGGGAGCAAACGGG